GCGCGAAACCCACCACAAGAUGAGAUUUCUUUUAAGGAUCGUGGAAGAUGACCACGUUGAUAGGCUAUAGAUGUAAAGGCAGUAAUGUCAUAGUCGAGUAGUACUAAUAAUCCGUAAGCUUAUGUACACCC
rnacentral:rRNA from 1 species